rnacentral:rRNA from 4 species
AUAUUUAAGUUGUUGCAGUUAAAAAGCUCGUAGUUGGAUUUCGGGUGGGUUGCAAUGGUCCGGUUCGCUGUGUACUGUUGCGGCCUUCCUUUCUGCCGGGGACGGGCUCUUGGGCUUCACUGUCUGGGAUCCGGAGUCGGCGAGGUUACUUUGAGUAAAUUAGAGUGUUCAAAGCAAGCUUACGCUCUGAAUACAUUAGCAUGGAAUAACACGAUAGGACUCUGGCCUAUCUUGUUGGUCUGUAGGACUGGAGUAAUGAUUAAGAGGGACAGUCGGGGGCAUUCGUAUUUCAUUGUCA